rnacentral:rRNA from 1 species
GAUGAACGCUGGCGGCGUGCUUAACACAUGCAAGUCGAACGGUGAACGAGGGAGCUUGCUCCCUCCGGAUCAGUGGCGAACGGGUGCGUAACGCGUAUGCAAUCUACCUUUUGCAGAGGGAUAGCCCAGAGAAAUUUGGAUUAAUACCUCAUAGUAUGUGAGAAUGGCAUCAUUUUCACAUUAAAGUCACAACGGCAAAAGAUGAGCAUGCGUCCCAUUAGCUAGUUGGUAAGGUAACGGCUUACCAAGGCUACGAUGGGUAGGGGUCCUGAGAGGGAGAUCCCCCACACUGGUACUGAGACACGGACCAGACUCCUACGGGAGGCAGCAGUGAGGAAUAUUGGACAAUGGGCGCAAGCCUGAUCCAGCCAUGCCGCGUGCAGGAUGACGGUCCUAUGGAUUGUAAACUGCUUUUGUACGGGAAGAAACCCUCCUACGUGUAGGAGCUUGACGGUACCGUAAGAAUAAGGAUCGGCUAACUCCGUGCCAGCAGCCGCGGUAAAAC